rnacentral:lncRNA from 1 species
UCAGUGGGACCUUCAUGGAUUUGAUAGAAACCUUGGCAGCUUUAGUGGUCACUUUGGAAGCUUUGCUAGAAGUAGCCAAUGUUGUUGAGAGUUUGAAGAAAAUUUGGGUUUUGUUUUGAGUUUGUUUUUGGAAAAAGAUGAAAAGAUAAAGUGCUUAAGGGUUUUCAGAAAGCAUAAAAAAGAGGAAUGAUUAAGAAGUGUGUCUUUUAUAAGUUUUUGGAAGAG